rnacentral:rRNA from 1 species
UACGUAGGGGGCUAGCGUUGUCCGGAAUCAUUGGGCGUAAAGCGCGUGUAGGCGGUCCGGUAAGUCCGCUGCGAAAGCCAGGGGCUCAACCCUUGGAUGCCGGUGGAUACUGUCGGGCUUGAGUACGGAAGAGGCGAGUGGAAUUCCUGGUGUAGCGGUGAAAUGCGCAGAUAUCAGGAGGAACACCAAUUGCGAAGGCAGCUCGCUGGGACGUUACUGACGCUGAGACGCGAAAGCGUGGGGAGCAAACAGG